GACGAACGCUGGCGGCGUGCUUAACACAUGCAAGUCGAACGGUGAAGCGCCUUCCUUUUUGGUGGGUGUGGAUGAGUGGCGAACGGGUGAGUAACACGUGAGUAACCUGCCCCCUUCUUCUGGAUAACCGCAUGAAAGUGUUGCUAAUACGGGAUAUUCUGGGUCUGUCGCAUGAUGGGUCUGGGAAAGAUAUUGUUUCGGUGGGGGAUGGGCUCGCGGCCUAUCAGCUUGUUGGUGGGGUGAUGGCCUACCAAGGCGGUGACGGGUAGCCGGCCUGAGAGGGUGGACGGUCACACUGGGACUGAGACACGGCCCAGACUCCUACGGGAGGCAGCAGUGGGGAAUAUUGCACAAUGGGCGAAAGCCUGAUGCAGCGACGCCGCGUGAGGGAUGGAGGCCUUCGGGUUGUGAACCUCUUUCGCCAGUGAAGCAGGGCUGCCUCGUUUGUGGGUGGGUUGACGGUAGCUGGAUAAGAAGCGCCGGCUAACUACGUG
rnacentral:rRNA from 1 species